GAUAGAUCUUGUACUGUAGCUAUAUACCCUUGUCUGUAUAUGAAAUAAGGUAAUCUGAUAGAUCUUGUACUGUAGCUAUAUACCCUUGUCUGUUUAGAAAUAAGGUAAUCUGAUAGAUCUUGUACUGUAGCUAUAUACCCUUGUCUGUAUAUGAAAUAAGGUAAUCUGAUAUAUCGUGUACUGUAGCUAUAUACCCUUGUCUGUAUAUGAAAUAAGGUAAUCUGAUAGAUCUUGUACUGUAGCUAUAUACCCUUGUCUGUAUAUGAAAUAAGGUAAUCUGAUAGAUCUUGUACUGUAGCUAUAUGCCCUUGUCUGUAUAUGAAAUAAGGUAAUCUAAUAGAUCUUGUACUGUAGCUAUAUGCCCUUGUCUGUAUAGAAAUAAGGUAAUCUGAUAGAUCUUGUACUGUAGCUAUAUGCCCUUGUCUGUAUAUCAAAUAAGGUAAUCUGAUAGAUCUUGUCCUGUAGCUAUAUGCCCUUGUCUGUAUAUGAAAUAAGGUAAUCUGAUAGAUCUUGUCCUGUAGCUAUAUGCCCUUGUCUGUAUAUGAAAUAAGGUUAUCUGAUAGAUCUUGUACUGUAGCUAUAUGCCCUUGUCUGUAUAUGAAAUAAGGUAAUCUGAUAGAUCUUGUACUGUAGCUAUAUACCCUUGUCUGUAUAGAAAUAAGGUAAUCUGAUAGAUCUUGUACUGUAGCUAUAUGCCCUUGUCUGUAUAUCAAAUAAGGUAAUCUAAUAGAUCUUGUACUGUAGCUAUAUACCCUUGUCUGUAUAUGAAAUAAGGUAAUCUGAUAUAUCGUGUACUGUAGCUAUAUACCCUUGUCUGUAUAUGAAAUAAGGUAAUCUGAUAGAUCUUGUACUGUAGCUAUAUACCCUUGUCUGUAUAUGAAAUAAGGUAAUCUGAUAGAUCUUGUGCUGUAGCUAUAUACCCUUGUCUGUAUAUGAAAUAAGGUAAUCUGAUAUAUCGUGUACUGUAGCUAUAUGCCCUUGUCUGUAUAUGAAAUAAGGUAAUCUGAUAGAUCUUGUACUGUAGCUAUAUGCCCUUGUCUGUAUAGAAAUAAGGUAAUCUGAUAGAUCUUGUACUGUAGCUAUAUGCCCUUGUCUGUAUAUGAAAUAAGGUAAUCUGAUGGAUCUUGUACUGUAGCUAUAUACCCUUGUCUGUAUAUGAAAUAAGGUAAUCUGAUAGAUCUUGUGCUGUAGCUAUAUACCCUUGUCUGUAUAGAAAUAAGGUAAUCUGAUGGAUCUUGUACUGUAGCUAUAUACCCUUGUCUGUAUGUGAAAUAAGGUAAUCUGAUAGAUCUUGUACUGUAGCUAUAUGCCCUUGUCUGUAUAUGAAAUAAGGUAAUCUGAUAGAUCUUGUACUGUAGCUAUAUACCCUUGUAUGUAUAGAAAUAAGGUAAUCUGAUAGAUCUUGUACUGUAGCUAUAUACCCUUGUCUGUAUGUGAAAUAAGGUAAUCUGAUAGAUCUUGUACUGUAGCUAUAUACCCUUGUCUGUAUGUGAAAUAAGGUAAUCUGAUAGAUCUUGUACUGUAGCUAUAUGCCCUUGUCUGUAUAUGAAAUAAGGUAAUCUGAUAGAUCUUGUACUGUAGCUAUAUACCCUUGUAUGUAUAGAAAUAAGGUAA